rnacentral:rRNA from 1 species
CCUACGUGAGGCAGCAGUAAGGAAUAUUGGUCAAUGGGCGAGAGCCUGAACCAGCAAAGUCGCGUGAAGGAUGAAGGAUCUAUGGUUUGUAACCUUCUUUUAUAUGGGAGUAAAUUGAGGAACGUGACCCUUAUUGUAUGUACCAUAUGAAUAAGCAUCGGCUAACUCCGUGCCAGCAGCCGCGGUAAUACGGAGGAUGCGAGUGUUAUCCGGAUUCAUUGGGUUUAAAGGGUGCGCAGGUGGUUAAUUAAGUCAGCGGUGAAAGUUUGUGGCUCAACCAUAAAAUUGCCGUUGAAACUGGUUGACUUGAGUAUAUUUGAGGUAGGCGGAAUGCGUGGUGUAGCGGUGAAAUGCAUAGAUAUCACGCAGAAUUCCGAUUGCGAAGGCAGCUUACUAAACUAUAACUGACACUGAAGCACGAAAGCGUGGGGAGCAAACAGGAUUAGAUACCCUAGUAGUC